AUUGAACGCUGGCGGCAGGCCUAACACAUGCAAGUCGAGCGGAGCGGCGGACGGGUGAGUAAUGCCUAGGAAUCUGCCUGUUCGUGGGGGAUAACGUCCGGAAACGGGCGCUAAUACCGCAUACUAUCAGAUGAGCCUAGGUCGGUAUAGCAAGUUGGUGGGGUAAAGGCAUAACAAGGCGCCGAGCCGUAACUGGUCUGAGAGGAUGAUCAGUCACACUGGAACUGAGACACGGUCCAGACUCCUACGGGAGGCAGCAGUGGGGAAUAGUGGACAAUGGGCGAAAGCCUGAUCCAGCCAUGCCGCGUGUGUGAAGAAGGUCUUCGGGUUGUAAAGCACUUUAAGUUGGGAGGCGUUACCGACAGAAUAAGCACCGGCUAACUUCGUGCCAGCAGCCGCGGUAAUUC
rnacentral:rRNA from 1 species